UACGUAGGGCGCAAGCGUUGUCCGGAAUUAUUGGGCGUAAAGAGCUCGUAGGUGGCUUGUCACGUCGGGUGUGAAAGCUUGGGGCUUAACUCCAGGUCUGCAUUCGAUACGGGCUGGCUAGAGGUAGGUAGGGGAGAACGGAAUUCCUGGUGUAGCGGUGAAAUGCGCAGAUAUCAGGAGGAACACCGGUGGCGAAGGCGGCACUCUGGGCCGGAACUGACGCUGAGGAGCGAAAGCGUGGGGAGCGAACAGG
rnacentral:rRNA from 1 species